GACAGAGUGAGGGAGAGAGUGGGUGACUAGUGACAGAGUGAGGAAGGGGGUGACUAGUGACAGAGUGAAGGAGGUGGUGACUGUCACUAGUCACCUCAUCCCUCCCUCUGUCACUAGUCACCCCCUCCUCUUUCUCUGUCAC